CCGCCUCGUGUGGCUGUGUCUUCCCAGACACGGUGUCCAGGCUGUGGUCCUGCAGGGCCUUCGAGGUCUUCCAGUUAGACCACACACAUGGCUGUGGCAUCUUUGAAUGUGCUCGGAUCGAUGAUGACACCCCAAUUACAUUCCUUGGAGCUGAACAAAAUGAGUGAAAACUCCUAAACCGUCAUUCUCAUCGUGACUGAGGUCCAGCACUUGGCCGCACACAGGGAGGCAGGAGCAGGCCUCCACUUGAGAUGCGCACACAGCCUUCCCACUCAGGGGUUCGUCCCUGUCCAGCCCCCGCCCCAGGCCCUCAGGAGCAUGUCCUCCCUGGGGUGACCCGGCUAGGCGAGGUUCGGGUUUCAGUGACCCCUGAGCUCUGGUCGGCAUUCUGGAGCAGAAGGGUGCUGAAGGCUCGGUGACUUUCCCCCAGGCCUCGGGGUGGGUGGCGCAGUUAGUGCCUCUGAUCGGCAGGGUUGGCAGCCUCACUGUGCUCUGGGCCGGUCCUCAUUGUCCUGGGAUCGGGCGAGGUCCUCCUGGAGCAGAAGGUGGUUCUGUCUGAGUGAGCUGACGUGCACAGGGGCCAGGCGGAUGGAGUGUGUGGAAAGGCAGCUGCUGUCCACCGCCAGUCUUCCUGGUGAGAUCUCCUCCCUCUGGGCUCAGCUUUGCCUGGUGACGGAGAGACAGCGCAAGUGUUGGGAAUGAGGGAAGCCUUGAGCCUGGGCCCUGUGCCCAGGGAAUUGCAGAGCAGCUGUCAUGAGACUGGGGCUCUCAUCCCCAUCCUCCAGUCCUGCCCUGGAGAAGUGCCCUGUGUUUUCUCUCCGUGGCAGGCUGUUUGGCCUCUUGACUUCCCCUGGGAAAUGUCUGGUUGGAUUUGAGUGUAGAUAUGGGCUGGACCUCUCCUUGGUGGUACCAGUUUUCUGCUGAAGGCCGCCGAGCACCACGAUUGUCUUCCCAUUACCUCGCAGAACAGGUUCUUAGUGUGCUGUCUGGGCCUGCCCGGUCUGGCCAUGCUGCUCAGUGCAGGCCGGUUUGCAAUGUGCGUGCCACGUGAGGCUCGUCUCGUGGCGUUUCAUCUGUGCAUGGCAGGUACCAUUGUGUCCAGCUUGUGGUUGAUGAAAUUCUCCCUGGAGCUCCAGUGGAGACAGGUGUUUGGUGUCAGUGAGGCAUGAUGGCUCUGGAAUUCUGUUUCCACCUUCCUGUGUGGGCAGCUGCACUGAGGGACCUGGACCUGGGUGGUAUCACUGUAUCCACUGUGGACAUACCGAUGCAAUGCCAGGGAACCAUUUUCAGGGAUAGAGGAUCGUUACUUUUUAUGGGGGCCAGGUCCACGCCAUGGCUUAUGGACCAGCCUCCCUAGCACAGAUGUCCCUGUUGGAGGCUGGGGACUGUCCAGCUUGUGGCUACUGUUUCUCUUCCAUGUUCGGUUUUUCCUUUGGAGGAAUCAGGGUUCUAUUCUCACCCGUGAGCACCCAACACAGUGAACCCCUCCCGCUCCGUCAGAGGUGGUGCAUGCGUGUUGUCCCCAGGGCCCCUUUCCACCUUCUGUCAUGGCCUCGAGCCGGGAAUGUGCACCCCUGAGCGGUGUGCAGAAGCUAUUGGAGUUGGCAUCCGUGGAUGGUACCCCUCAGUGUCUUUUGUGGCGUGGCGUGGGGAAUGUCCUGGUCUGGUCUCUGGUGCAGGGCGGGCCUGAUGAGAUGUCUAGUGAAUCCCUCCGUGGGCCCUCAGCCAGGCCAGGCAGACACCUAUGCAGUCAAGCAGAGACACAUUCACCUCGUGGUCCGUGGAAGGAAACAGAAGCUUCCCCAUGGGAUGGUCUUGAGGGGGAGUUGGCCUGGCGUGCCUGCCUUCAGCUGUGCCUGCCUGGCUCCUGAGGACCAGAAGCGCUGUGGAAUCCUGCGAGCCUUGUGUCCACCCAGUGAGCCCCUUCUGGUGUGUGAUUAAGGGUGGGCGUUGUCAGGGGCGCCGGCUGCCAGCUGCCUGUGCUUGGAACCUCAGUCCCAGAGCAACGAGAAGCUGCUGCAUAUCUUUGUAUUCUGCUAAUGAGCUCUCUGAAUGUCUGAGGAAGGGGAGCUGCCCUGCGCGCACGCCUUCUGCUGAGGUUCCUGCUCCUGGGCACCAGAGGACCUCCGAGGGCUGCAGGCCUGUGUCCUCCCUCCCGACGAGCUGCGGGCCUGUGGACGGUUCAGGACGCUUUCCGGUGGCAUUGCCAGGUGAUGGAUUCCAGAGGACUAGAAGGAAGACUUCCAUAUUCUGGGACCCAAAGAAAGGUUGUGUUGCCAUGUGAUGGGCUCCAAGCACCAAUUGGGAAGACCUGUGUGUCCUCAGAUCCCCAUAGAGGUCAACAAGCCCCAGGACGUGACUGAUGUAGAUUCUGUUAUUUGAUGAUGGAUGAUUGAUAAUGUGAGCGUGUUUCUUCUGCAUUUCCCAGUUGGCAUCCUGGGACGGACUGCAGGGGCCCAGACAGAAGAACUGUGAACCUGAGAUCCCCAGAGGUCAGCGCAUCUUCGAAUGCCUGUGGAUUGGCUUCCUUGGGGUGACAGUGGAUGCCUGAUGAAGCACUUCGCAUGUGCAGACUCCAGAGGCACAGUGUGAAGACCUGCCCUCCCUGACACCCCGGAGAGCUCCGAACACCUCAGGCUGCGUGAAGAGGCUUCUUCUUCGGGAAGGUGAAGCAUGUCAGAAUUCCCUAGAAUGUCAUCACCAGACCUAUGAAGAGCUGAUUUUGUCACCUUCAUCUGUGAAGGAACAAAACAGUGUACCUUGGGGUAAAAGAAGACCAAGAACUGGGCUUCGUGUGGAUAAAGGAAAGUAUGAGGAAAAAUUCACUUUCAGCCUUAAGAUUAAAGGGGAGUUCUCAUACGGUGAAGAUUGAGUCUGUAAAGGAGGGGCAGGUGUGGAAGCACUGGCAUUAAAUCUCAACUGUGAGCCCCAGAAAAUGGGCUGACAGCUUUCCAGUCCAGCUCUCCACUCUGUGGUCUCCUGGACCACCAUGCAGACAGUGACUUCCGGGGAAGUCUUCUGGGAGUAACUGCUGCGGGUAGAUCCUGGCAAGAAGGGUCCUCGUAAAGCUCUCACCUGCGUGUUGUCUAGCACAAACCCUCUGAAGGUCACAGCCCAGGGGCAGUCGAGGCGGUACGUUAGAGUGGGCGCUGUUACCUCUGCCCCGUCCUCACCACAACGCGACAGUUUCCCUUUGCACGGAGAGUGCUGCUUUCCCGUGUGGCAGCGGAUCCCUUCUGCAGAUAAGAAAUGCUUAACUGAGAAUGCUCGUGUUGGGCGUCGUCGAUGAGACUUUAAUUUGGGCAUGGUGACCGUUUCCCUUGCUGCCACUGACUCAAUCCUGGGAGCCUCAGUGGAGGAAUAAUAUUGCGCAAGAAGCUCACAGUGGUGGAAUUUCUCAGUGCUCCUAUACAUUUCUAGUUUUUAUUUGCCACAUUGGAUAAAUUCUAAAAUAGGAUAUCUUUAAAAGAAACUGCAUGAUUUUUUCAAAAAUUCAAAGCAUAUUCAAACAAUUGAUACAUAAAUUGGUGCCCUGCUCUCUUUCAGUUCUAUAGUUUUCAUCUAUUAAGGGAGGUGUGUGCAUUCUCUUAAUGGAUAGAUGUACACGAGCUGUUUGGGGAGGGAGUCUAGAAGUGGGUCCAUCUUGUAAUACAUUCUCUGCAAUUUGCCUCCUUCAUUUACCAGUCUUUUCAGUGGACAUUCUCUGAUAUACACACAUCUGUGUCAUUUGUUGAGUGACUGCAUGACUGUUUGUAGAUGAAAUAUAAUUAAAUGUUUCAAGCAUUUCUCAUUCAUAGAUGUUUAUGUUAGCACCAAAUUUCUAUGCAAUGAACCUCCCUACACAUCAACAAUUUUGCUUUGUCAAUGGUAUCAUAAUAAAAUUUCUUAGCAGUUGAAUUACUGGGAUUAAGGGUGUGCACGCUUCAAAUUUUGAAAAUUAUUGCAAGAUCUCCUUUAAAAUGUGGUUAAUAAUUUUAUCGUUAAUGGCAAUGAGAGAGGUUGUCGAAUUUCUCACAACCUCACAGAUAAGUGGAUUUUAUAAAUAUUUAAAAUCUUGCCAGUGUGAUCGCCCAAACUAUUGUCUUAAAUUGUAUUUCUUUUGUUUUUGAGUUUGAUCAUUUUUCAUGUUUAUUAGCCAUCUGUAUUUUUUAAUUUCUUCUUUAUGUCCAAUUCUGGGGGUGUACAGAGGUUUUAGUCUCAGAUUCCGAAAGCACGUUUACUAUUGGUAAAAUAAGUUUUGAAAUUGUUAAGCAUUGCGAGUAUUUUUACACACCUUUAGCUCUGUUUUUGUUAUAAGAAUGUGUAUGAUUGUUAUAUGUUCAACUAUAACCAUGUUCACUUUUAUGGCUUCUGAGUUCCAUGCCAUUUUUGGAAAGAUAUUUAUACUGAGUCCAUAAAACCCUUCACCUGUGUUAA